AAUUGCGAUACCCGUUGAUCCUGCGGGAGAUUACUGCUAUUAGGGUUCCACUUAACCAUGCAAGUCAAGGGGACUCUUCGGAGUCACCGGCGGAAUGCUCAGUAACACGUCGAUAAUCUACCCUAAGGUCUAGAAUAACCAUGGGAAACUGUGGCUAAUACUGGAUAGAAAAUUGAUACUGGAAUGUACUUUUUUUGAAAGUUACGACGCCUUAGGAUGGGUCGGCGGCUGAUUAGCUAGUUGGUGAGGUAAUGGCUCACCAAGGCUCAGAUCAGUACGGGCCUUGAGAGAGGGAGCCCGGAGAAGGACACUGAGAAAAGGGUCCUAGCCCUAAGGGGUGCAGCAGNNAAGACCGGUGCCAGCAGCCGCGGUAACCCCGGCGCCACGAGUGGUAAUCGCGUUUAUUUGGCCUAAAGCGUCCGUAGUCGAUAAAGUCAGUCUUUUGUUAAAUCCUUAUGCUUAACAUAGGGGCCGCAAGAGAUACUGCUUUAUUAGAGAUCGGGAGGAGACAAAGGUAUUCCUUGGGUAGCGGUAAAAUGCGAUAAUCCUUGGAAGACCACCAAUG
rnacentral:rRNA from 1 species